rnacentral:rRNA from 1 species
UACGAAGGGUGCAAGCGUUACUCGGAAUUACUGGGCGUAAAGCGUGCGUAGGUGGUUUGUUAAGUCUGAUGUGAAAGCCCUGGGCUCAACCUGGGAAUUGCAUUGGAUACUGGCAGGCUAGAGUGCGGUAGAGGAUGGCGGAAUUCCCGGUGUAGCAGUGAAAUGCGUAGAGAUCGGGAGGAACAUCUGUGGCGAAGGCGGCCAUCUGGGAAGAUACUGACGCUGAGGUGCGAAAGCGUGGGGAGCAAACAGG